UACGUAGGGACCGAGCGUUGUCCGGAAUCAUUGGGUGUAAAGGGUAUGUAGACAGUUUUCAGUGUUCUGGUCAAAAGCGCGGAGUGUUCCUACGCGAUGGCCUGUUAAAAACAAAACUUGAGUUGAAGAGAGGUCGGGUCAAAUUCUUAAGUAGGGGUAAGAUCCACCGAUAUGAGAAUGAACGUCAGCUGGCGAAGGCGCCCCUCCCGCUUCAACUGACGUUAAGGUACGAAAGCUUGGGGAGCAAACGGA
rnacentral:rRNA from 1 species